GGGGUUACGUACGUUCUGGGAGCAAUUGCAGAAACAGAGGGCUGACUAUGGCUCAGAUUGAACGCUGGCGGGAUGCUUUAUACAUGCAAGUCGAACGGCAAAAGGCACGGGCUUCGGUCUGGUGGCGAGUGGCGAACGGGUGAGUAAUGUAUCGGAACGUGCCUAGUAGUGGGGAUACGCGAAAGCGUAGUAGCUAAUACCGUACAUUGCCCCCUUCAAAAGGACCUUCGGGCCUCGCACUAUUACGGCCGAUAUCGGAUUAGCGAAGUUGGUGGGGCAGUAACGGCUCGUAUCAAGGCGACGAUCCUAGCUGGUCGGAGAGGAAUGACCAGCCACACUGGGACUGAGACACGGCCCAGACUUACGAGCAGCAGGGAAUUUUGGACAAUGGGGGAAAUCCCUGGAUCCAGCCAUCCCGCGUGUGCGAUGAAGGCUCGGGUUGUAAAGCACUUUUUGGUAAAAACGCACGGGAUAAUACCCCGCAACUGAUUGUACCUGCAGAAUAAGCACCGGCUAACUAUUGUGCCAGCAAAGCCAUGCAUGUAGGAAAAGCGUUAAUCGGAAUUACUGGGCGUAAAGCGUGCGCAGGCGGUUCGGAAAGAAAGAUGAAACCCAGAGCUUGACCUUGGAACUGCAUUUUUAACUACUGAGCUAGAGUGUGUCAGAGGAGGUGAAUUCCGCGUGUAGCAGUGAAAUGCGUGAUAUGCGGAGGAACACCGAUGGCGAAGGCAGCCUCCUGGGAUAACACUGACGCUCAUGCACGAGCGGGGAGCAAACAGGAUUAGAUACCCCAGAAGUCCAUGCCCCAAACGAUGUCAACUAGCUGUUGGGGCCUCGGCCUUGUAGUGCAGCUAACGCAAGAAGUUGACCGGCCUGGGGAGUACGGUCGCAAGAUUAAAACCAAAGAAUUGACGGGGACCGCAUUGAAGCGGUGGAUGAUGUGGAUUAACGGAUGCGACGCGAAAAACCUUACCUACCCUUGACAUGUCUGGAAUCCCGAAAGAUUUGGGAGUGCUCGCAAGAGAACCGGAACACAGGUGCUGCACAUUGCCGUCAGCUCGUGUCAGAGAUGCUGGGUUAAGUCCCGCAACGAGCGCAACCUUGUCAUUAGUUGCUACGAAAGGGCACUCUAAUGAGACUGUUGCGACAAACCGGAGAAGGUGGGGAUGACGCCGUUUUCCUCGGCGGCCUUGCGGCAGGGCUUCACACGUCAUACAAUGGUCGGGACAGAGGGUCGCCAACCCGCGAGGGGAGCCAAUCCCAGAAACUCCUGAUCAAGUCCGGAUCGCAGCAGUCUGCAACUGACUGCGUGAAGUCGGAACAGCCAGGUAAUCGCGGAUCAGCAUGUCGCGGUAAUACGUUCCGGCCUUGUACACACCGCCCGUCACAUGGGAGUGGGUUUUACCAGAAGUAGUUAGCCUAACCGUAAGGAGGGCGAUUACCACGGUAGGAUUCAUGACCUGGGUGAAGUCGUAAACAAGGUAG
rnacentral:rRNA from 1 species